rnacentral:rRNA from 1 species
CCUACGGGAGGCAGCAGUGGGGGAUAUUGCACAAUGGGGGGAACCCUGAUGCAGCGACGCCGCGUGGGGGAAGGAGUGCUUCGGCAUGUAAAGCCCUGUCGGCAGGGAAGAAGCAAGACGGUACCUGACUAAGAAACCCCGGACAACUAAGGGCCAGCAGCCGCGGGAAUACGUAGGGGGCGAGCGUUAACCGGAUUCGAUGGGGUGAAAGGAAGCGGAGAGGGCCAAGCAAGCCGCGGGUGAAAGCCCGGUGCCCAACCCCGGGACUGCCCUUGGAACUGGAUGGCUGGAGUGCGGGAGGGGCAGGCGGAAUUCCUGGUGUAGCGGUGAAAUGCGUAGAUAUUAGGAGGAACACCAGCGGCGAAGGCGGCCUGCUGGACCGCGACUGACGUUGAGGCACGAAAGCGUGGGGAGCGAACAGGAUUAGAUACCCCAGUAGUC